GACGAACGCUGGCGGCGUGCUUAACACAUGCAAGUCGAACGGUAAGGCCCUUUCGGGGGUACUCGAGUGGCGAACGGGGGAGUAACACGUGGGUGAUCUGCCCUGCACUUUGGGAUAAGCCUGGGAAACUGGGUCUAAUACCGGAUAGGACUACGCGAUGCAUGUCGUGUGGUGGAAAGCUUUUGCGGUGUGGGAUGGGCCCGGGGCCUAUCAGCUUGUUGGUGGGGUGAGGGCCUACGAAGGCGACGAGGGGUAGCCGGCCUGGGAGGGUGUCCGGCCACAGUGGGACUGAGAGACGGCCCAGACUCCUACGGGAGGCAGCAGUGGGGAAUAUUGCACAAUGGGCGCAAGCCUGAUGCAGCGACGCCGCGUGGGGGAUGACGGCCUUCGGGUUGUAAACCCCUUUCAGCACAGACGAAGCGUAAGUGACGGUAUGUGCAGAAGAAGCACCGGCUAACUACGUG
rnacentral:rRNA from 1 species